rnacentral:rRNA from 1 species
GAGUUUGAUCGAUGGCUCAGGACGAACGCUGGCGGCGUGCCUAACACAUGCAAGUCGAGCGGAGACAGUGAGUAGCUUGCUAUGAGCUGUUUUAGCGGCGGACGGGUGAGUAACGCGUGAGCAACCUUUACCCAGACAGGGGAAUAACACACCGAAAGGUGUACUAAUACCGCAUAAGACCACGGGAUCACAUGGUUCUGGGGGUAAAAGAUUUAUCGGUUUGGGGUGGGCUCGCGUCCGAGUUAGGUAGUUGGUGAGGUAA